GAUGAACGCUGGCGGCGUGCCUAAUACAUGCAAGUCGAGCGAACGGACGAGAAGCUUGCUUCUCUGAUGUUAGCGGCGGACGGGUGAGUAACACGUGGAUAACCUACCUAUAAGACUGGGAUAACUUCGGGAAACCGGAGCUAAUACCGGAUGAUAUUUUGAACCGCAUUGUUCAAAAGUUAAAGACGGUCUUGCUGUCACUUAUAGAUGGAUCCGCGCUGCAUUAGCUAGUUGGUAAGGUAACGGCUUACCAAGGCAACGAUGCAUAGCCGACCUGAGAGGGUGAUCGGCCACACUGGAACUGAGAUACGGUCCAGACUACUACGGGAGGCAGCAGUAGGGAAUCUUCCGCAAUGGGCGAAAGCCUGACGGAGCAACGCCGCGUGAGUGAUGAAGGUCUUCGGAUCGUAAAACUCUGUUAUUAGGGAAGAACAUAUGUGUAAGUAACUGUGCACAUCUUGACGGUACCUAAUCAGAAAGCCACGGCUAACUACGUG
rnacentral:rRNA from 1 species